rnacentral:rRNA from 1 species
UGGGGAAUAUUGGACAAUGGGGGAAACCCUGAUCCAGCGAUGCCGCGUGUGUGAAGAAGGCCUACGGGUUGUAAAGCACUUUUAGUGGGGACGAGAGAUUUAUCAUGAUAAGUGGUAAAAGGAGACGGUACUCACAGAAAAAGCACCGGCUAACUCUGUGCCAGCAGCCGCGGUAAGACAGAGGGUGCAAGCGUUAAUCGGAGUGAUUGGGCGUAAAGGGCGCGUAGGCGGUGGAGAAAGUUAGUUGUGAAAUACCAAGGCUUAACUAUGGGAUUGCAGCUAAAACUAAGCCACUAGAGUGAAGCAGAGGGGAGUAGAAUUUCCAGUGUAGCGGUGAAAUGCGUAGAUAUUGGAAAGAAUAUCAGUGGCGAAAGCGACUCUCUGGGCUUAAACUGACGCU